UGCAUUAUCUUCCUUCUUUAUUGACACAGAUCCAAACAGGAAACAAUAUCUCCAUUUUAAAGAGCACAGAGAGUUCAUUCAUCAUCCCAAGGCCACCCACUUAGUAAAAUGUAUAGCCUGGAUAUCAGCCAUUCAAUGCCCACAUCAAUAUUCCCAACAACGUUAGGCAUUAACUACCAGACGAUUUUCAGUGAUACCGAGAAAGGUGUUGCGAGCUCCAUAAAUACAGCACUUUCCACUAGCAAACCCAGUGGGAUUCUUCAAUACGUAGCAAGCCUCGCCCCAGUUAACGUUCCCGUUUUGCAGAUGAGGAAAUGGAGACUUCUAGAAGAAGUCAGAGAGAUCUGAGUUUGAGUUCCUGCUUUUUCACUCACCAGCUGCACAGGUCUCUGCAAAUCACGUAAUUCCUUGGAGGUUCACCCGUCCUCACCAGCAACAUAGGGACAAUAUCUGAUCUCAAAGGGCUGGUGUGGGGUAAAUAGAAGGACAGAGCUUGGCUCCUCUUUCUAGAGGCAAUAAAGGAUCAUCUUUUCUUCUGUUCCUCAGGCUGGAGUGCAGUGGCACAAUUGUAGGUCACUGCAGCCUCUGCCUCCCGGGUUCAUGCCAUUCUCCAACCUCAGCCUCCUGAGUAGCUGGGAUUACAGGCACCCACCACCAUGUCUGCCUAAUUUUUGUAUUUUUAGUAGAAAUGGGUUUGGCCAUGUUGUCCAGGCUGGUCUUGAACUCCUGACCUCAGGUGAUCCACCCACCUCAGCCCCCAAAGUGCUAGGAUUACAGGCCUGAGCCACUGCGCCUGGCCUUGCUAUGAUUGAUAGAGGUAGGAAAGGGGAUUAAGUGGGAAUAAUGAGGCAUCAUGACUGAGGCAUUAUAGCCACACUUCCUGAAGAAGAGUUUGUUACAUCUGUUGAACUGGGAGAAAUCCAUUAAUUAGGCAUAUUUCUUUCUGCUGCAUUUGCACAUCAUGUGUUAUGUCUUCUUCCUCAGGUCUCAUGAGCAGACUGUCACCGGAUGGUAAGUGUCAGGAUUGUAUCUUUUAAACCUGGUCUUUCUCUUGUCCAGGAGGCAGAGCAUCAGAGGCAAGGUGGCCACUAACAGUAGAUUCAUUCAGCACCUUAAAUCAGCCAAUGAAUUUCCAAGUAUCCCUUUGCAUGGAUUCUUUUAAUCCUUAUAAGCCCUCUAAGAGGUGUAAAUGCCACAAAAGCUACAGUGACCAGCUCGUCCCAGGACACUUCCAGUGUUAGCUCUGAAACUCUCGCAUCCUGGGAACCCCUUCAGUUCUGGGCAGACCAGGAGCGUGGGUCUCUCAUUUAUGAUUCCACUUUUCUGAUGAGGAGACUGAGGCACAAGGAGAUGGAGUGAGUUGCUGAUGGUCACGAGGCUGGCAUUGAGAAGAGAACCAAAGAGGGGCACCUUGCUCCUUCCUCAAGCUCCCUCCUGACCCUCGGGGGAGAAAUGAGAGAGAACCCUGGAGACUCAAAGGGAUGCUCUAGUAUCUUCCUAAUCUCUGGAAGAUGAAUCCCCACGGAAACUGAAUACCUGGGGCUUCUGUCCACCUGGAUGGGAAGAUCUGUUUUGAGAACCACAGGGUGGGAGGAGCUAGGAAGAAGGCGUUAUUAAUUUCUUCCUUUUCCUCUCCUCUCCUUCCUUCCUUCCUCCACUGCUGCCCAACAAUGCCCACUGGAUCUUCUGCUCCUGGCAUCUCAUCUCAACAGCACUGAAACCUAAGAGUCUUGUUUCACAUUUGACCCCUUCUGUUUUGCUCCUGUUCUCAUCUCUGCCAAGGGAGGUCCACUCUUAGCCAUGGAUCAACUCUCAGCUUUUGACCAUCUUUUUUUUUUAAACUCAAGAACUGGGAAAAAAUAGCUAUAUUACCAUCAUCUUCAAAUAGAUGGGAUGUCUCAUGGAAACCAAUCCCUCCUCGAAUCAGGCAUUCAUGUAAUGCCAUGAUGAGGAUGGUGAUGACAGUGAUGGAAAUUUACAAAGAGCUUUCUAGGUGCCAGGUGAUGAAAACGUUCUAAAAUUGUUUGUGGUGAUGGAUGCACAGCUUUGUGAAUGUCCUAAAAACUACUGUCUUGUACACUUGAUGGCAGCACGACCCACCCAGGGCUCCGCUCUCCUGUGCUCCCAUCGCUCUGUCUUCUGAUGUUGUGAUUUUUCCCUACAUGUGGCCUCCUCUUCCACGGCUCCUGGGAACUCCAUACUCUGGGCCUGUCUGCUCCCCUGACCUGUCUUGCUUCCUGGACCCCAUCUCCUUCUGGAUGGACAUCAUCAGAGAUCCUAGGCUUGCUGAGCCUCCAAGUACUGCAUGGUAAGUCUGGUGACUGCUAUUUCGUGUUCACUCCUGUGCACAGAAAUAUACAGGUACUGGUUUUUUCUAUGGUGGGGGGUCCCUUAAAUAUCAUCAGACCCUACACUCUUUACUUCCUCUUCCUCCCUCCCUCUCUCCCUCCCUUUCUUCCUUUCCUCUUCCUCCUUCUCUUCCUGCUUCUUUUUCUCCUCCAUCUCUUCAUUUUUAGAAGAAACAAGUGGCUGCAAGGAGGAAGGUAAGUGCUUGGGGUCGUACCAUUCCUCAUCUAUAAGACAGUGUGUCCCUUCUGUCUGGGCUAUGAUAAAGCCUUAGAAGAGAAGAUUUCAGGUAAUCAAGGCCCUGCAGGGGCUUUGGUACCUGAGAGGCUGCCUUCCUGAAGGGCAUCCAAAGUCUGCAAGCCACUGCCCCUUUCACACUGCUCAUGGGCAUCGAGGAGACCCAACAUACUGAGAUGUGAGUGGGAGACAUUUCUAUCCCAGCUGCUGCUUCUGUGGACUGUGAGUCCUCUCUUCCCGACAUGGAAAUUACCAAGCUAAGUCCUGGGUGAUAGGACUGAGGGCCGGAAAACCAGAAAAUAGCAGCAAGCCACCAAGUGAUCCAGAUGGUGGAGAUGAGCGUUUUAAAGUAGGCAGAGCCGGGCAUGGUGGCAGCACCUGUGGUCCCAGCUACCCGGGAGGCUGAGGCAGGAGGAUUAUUUGAGCUGGGGAGGUGGAGGCUGCAGUGAGCCGUGAUUGUGCCACCGCAUCCGGCCUGGGUAACUGAGCAAGUCUCAAAAAAAAAAGAUUUUCUGAAUGUAAUACUUUUAAAAUAAAAAGACAAGGGAAAAAUGUUACACAGGCGAAAGAAACACUCUUGCACCUCAUGAGGUUUGACAUAAGAAAGCGACACGGUCGGAUCUGGUGCUAGAAAGAUCCUGCUGGCACUCAUGUGGGAGAUGGAUGAGAAAGAGAAAGGAUGGCGUAGUGGGCAGAGGCAGCCAUCAAGAGCAGAGCCUGAAGCCUGGGGAUGGGGGAGAGGUGGUGGUUUUGUUACCAGAAAGGGGUCCCGAUCAAGACCCCCAGAGAGGGUUCUUGAAUCUCGUGCAAGAAAGAAUUUGAGGCAAGUCCAUAAAGUGAAAGCAAGUUUAUUAAGAAAGUAAAGGAAUAAAAGACUGGCUACUCCAUAGGCAGAGCAGCAGCAAGGACUGCUGGACUGAGUCUCCUUAUAGUUAUUUCCUGAAUAUAUGAUAAACAAGGGGUGGAUUAUUUAUGAGUUUUCCAGGGAAGGAGUGGAGAUUUCCUGGAGCUGAGGGUGCCUCCCCUUUUUAGGCCAGUAGGGGAACUUCCUGAAGUUGCCAUGCCAUCUGUGAACUGUCAUGGUACUGGUGGGCGUGUCUCUUAGCCUGCUAAUGCAUUAUAAUUAGUAUAUAAUGAGCAGUGAGGACCACCAGAGGUCACUUGAAUCGCUAUCUUGGUUUCGGUGGGUUUUGGCAGCUUCUUUACCGCAACCUGUUUUAUCAGCAGGGUCUUUGCGACUUGUAUCUUGUGCCAACCUCCUAUUGUCAUCCUGUGACUAAGAAUGCCUUAACCUACUGGGAAUGUAGCCCAGUAGGGCUCAGCCUCAUUUUACCCAGCCCCUAUUCAAGACGGAGUCACUCUGGUUCAAACCCCUCUGACAGUUUGGUGAGAAAUCUGGGCAAGACAGGGUCAGAUUUGGUGAUGUCUUGGAUGUGAGGUGGGAGAGCCAAAAGGCAUUCCUGACUGUUUGUCUGGAGUAUGGUGGUAACCAAGAAGGGGGAAGCUGGCAGUGAUGGUGGGUGUGGACCAAAAUUUCAAUUCAGGAGGCAGGCAGAGAUGUGAGUUUGGAGAUCAGAAUGGAGAGACAGCAGUGACAGGAAGCUCUAAGGCAGGAAGGGAAGGCCAUCAGCAUCAAUCAUCUCCACGGUUCUCUCCAGUUAAACCCUUCUCAGGCACCACCCCAUCCAGGAAACCACUCCCCAAGAGGAAGAACACGUGGAACUUCCUGAAAUGCGCCUACAUGGUGAUGACCUACCUCUUCGUAUCCUACAACAAAGGGGACUGGUUCACUUUUUCCUCCCAAGUGUUACUGCCACUACUGUAACUUGGAACUGGACAUCAGGGAUGAUCCCUGCUGUUCUUUCUAGUGAGCCUGCUCCAUCUCAGCUUAGCCUUCACAAGGCCUCCAUCUCCCAGGCAUUCUAACCUCUGAAGAAAGCUCUCUGUCCCCUGGACUGCCUGUGUGGAGGGUAAUGAACUGGGUCCUUUAAGGAAUGGCACCUGGGUGCCCAGAGGCAUGGCCAGAAGGUGUCUGUGGGGGCCAUGCCUUAGGGGGAUGCACCCAGGGCGGCUGAGAGAGCAACUGCAGGAGUUUCCCCUAAAAUCUCUCCUCCAGAUCGUUCUCGAACUUUCCCCACUACUUCCAUAAUAAAAUGUAUACUUGUUGAAAUGGCUGAAAAGGCUGGGUUAUUCCAUUCGCCCAACACUGAAAACUAACAGGUAUGCUGGUGGAUUACCAAGAAUCAAACGCUAUCAGUUAACUGUGCACUUUACAGGUGAA
rnacentral:lncRNA from 1 species